rnacentral:rRNA from 1 species
GACAGAGGGUGCAAACGCUGUUCGGAAUUACUGGGCGUAAAGCGCGUGUAGGCGGCUCGGCAAGUCGGGUGUGAAAGCCCUGGGCUUAGCCUAGGAAGUGCACUCGAAACUGCCAAGCUUGAGUUCUGGAGAGGAAGGCGGAAUUCUCGGUGUAGAGGUGAAAUUCGUAGAUAUCGAGAGGAACACCGGUGGCGAAGGCGGCCUUCUGGACAGCAACUGACGCUGAGACGCGAAAGCGUGGGGAGCAAACAGG